ensembl:rRNA 5S_rRNA 5S ribosomal RNA
GCUUGCGGCCAUACCAGCUUAGGCACGCCCGAUCUCGGAAGCUAAGCAGGGUCGGGCCUGGUUAGUACUUGGAUGGGUGACCGCCUGGGAAUACCAGGUGCUGUAAGCA